UUCCGGUUGAUCCUGCCGGACCCUACUGCUAUCGGGGUGGGACUUAAACAUGCGAGUCGUCACAGCCAUGAUGAGCAUACGGCUCAGUAACACGUGGCCAACCCACCCUCGGGACGGAGACAACCCCGGGAAACUGGGACUAAUACCCGAUAGGCGAAGAUUCCUGGAACGGGUCUUCACCCAAAAGGUUAGACGCCCGAGGACGGGGCCGCGACCGAUCAGGUAGUUGGUGAGGCAACGGCUCACCAAGCCUAUAACCGGUGCGGGCCGUGGGAGCGGGAGCCCGGAGAUGGGCACUGAGACAAGGGCCCAGGCCCUACGGGGCGCAGCAGUCGCGCAAACUUUGCAAUACACGAAAGUGUGACAGGGCUAUCCCGAGUGCCGUCCGCUGAGGAAGGCUUUUACCCAGUGUAGAUAGCUGGGAGAAUAAGGAGAGGGCAAGAUCUGGUGUCAGCCGCCGCGGUAAUACCAGCUCUCCGAGUGGUGUGGAUGUUUAUUGGGCCUAAAGCAUCCGUAGCUGGCUGGGCAAGUCCCCUGUUAAAUCCACCGAUUUAAUCGUUGGAGUGCGGGGGAUACUGCUCGGCUAGGGGACGGGAGAGGCAGACGGUAUUUUCGGGGUAGGGGUGAAAUCCUAUAAUCCCGAGAGGACCACCAGUGGCGAAGGCUGUCUGCUAGAACGUGCCCGACGGUGAGGGAUGAAAGCUGGGGGAGCGAACCGGAUUAGAUACCCGGGUAGUCCCAGCUGUAAACGAUGCAGGCUAGGUGUUUGGACGGCCACGUGCCGUUCUAGUGCCGCAGGGAAGCCGUUAAGCCUGCCGCCUGGGGAGUACGGCCGCAAGGCUGAAACUUAAAGGAAUUGGCGGGGGAGCACCACAAGGGGUGAAGCUUGCGGUUUAAUUGGAUUCAACGCCGGA
rnacentral:rRNA from 1 species